GGAGCCUUGGCGCAAUGGUAGCGCGUUGGUUUUCGGAGAAAACAUCAAACACCAAAGGUAUGGUUCAACGCGCCUCGAGACACCCACCAGACUCUAACAGACAACAGGUUGUGGGUUCGAUCCCCAUGGGCUUCG